GGAUUCUGCCUGACGUAGACGCUAUUCCCUAAGAUUAACCCAUGCAUGUUUUUGACAUUUGAAAAAUGGACUGCUCAGUAAUACUCACUUUAUUUUAUGUACAUGUGAAACUAACUACGUUAAAGUGUAGAUAAGAUGUGUACAGUAAGAGUGAGACCUAUCAGCUAGUUGUUAAGGUAAUGGCUUAACAAGGCAGUGACGGGUAACGGUAUUACUUUGUAAUAUUCCGGAGAAGGAGCCUGAGAGACGGCUACUAAGUCUAAGGAUUGCAGCAGGGGCGAAACUUGACCUAUGGAUUUAUUCUGAGGCAGUUAUGGGAAGUAAUAUUAUAUUGUUUCAUAUUUUAAAAGUAUAUGAGGUGAUUAAUUGGAGGGCAAAUCAAGUGCCAGCAGCCGCGGUAAUACUUGUUCCAAGAGUGUGUAUGAUGAUUGAUGCAGUUAAAAAGUCCGUAGUUUAUGGUUAAGAAGCAAUAUGAGGUGUACUGUAUAGUUGGGAGAAAGAUGAAAUGUGACGACCCUGACUGG
rnacentral:rRNA from 1 species